rnacentral:rRNA from 1 species
UACAGAGGGUGCGAGCGUUGUCCGGAAUCACUGGGCGUAAAGGGCGCGUAGGCGGCUUGAUAAGCGUGCGGUGAAAGCCCGGGGCUCAACCCCGGGUCGGCCGUGCGAACUGUCGAGCUGGAGCACUGUAGAGGCAGGUGGAAUUCCGGGUGUAGCGGUGGAAUGCGUAGAGAUCCGGAAGAACACCAGUGGCGAAAGCGCUCUACUGGGCCAUAACUGACACUGAGGGACGAAAGCUAGGGGAGCGAAAGGG